CUAUAGACAAACUGGGUUCUCGGAUGCACCGCGCUCCGAGGGUGCCCUAGCGCCCCCGCAGAAGAGUCCCGACCUGGUGGGGAGGAGAUGCUAAGGAUUGCAGCUGACGUCGGCAAGCCAAGAUGCUCAGGUGAGACAACGCAUGCAACUUCACCUUUGGAGCCUGGGUUUUUCAUCUGUAGAAUGGACAUAAUCGAAGCUACUUCACAGGACUGUUAAGAAGAUUAAGUGAGACAAUGCUUGUAAAGCUCUUUGCACGAGGGAGUCCUGGAGGCUGGGCCUGGCAGGUAGAGUGCACCUGCUGUCACCCGGGACCAUGGGCAGCAUGAAGACCCCCACGGAACUGGCCAUCAAUGGGAUGCAGACCCUCCACGAUCAGCACCGCUGCCAGGGCGGCUGUCGGGUGAAGGCCAGGCCAUCAUACGUGGAUGAGACUUUGUUUGGCAGUCCUUCGGGUACCCGGCCCACACCACCAGACUUUGACCCACCCUGGGUCAAGAAAGCCAACAGAAUCAGAGGAGUGGGCACAGGGGCAUCACG